AUGUUUUGGGUUCCUGCAACUGGUCCGUCGGGUUAUUGUCUCCCCAGAAACACUUCCCUUGUGCUUUUGGAAAAAUGUUUUUUCCUAUUUCUGUUUUCUUUUUUCCUAUUUCCAUUGUGUUUUAAUCCAUCCACCUCAGAUGGAUUAGUUUCGUAUUUGGAUUCUGCUUGUAAAUCUGUCCUUGACGUUGUCGCUCCUUUUAUAUUCAGACAAUGCAAGCCUAAGGCUAGUCCUUGGCUAACUGAUUUUACCAGAGCCACUAGAAAAGAAUGUAGAAGAUGUGAAAGACGGUGGAAAAAAGAUAGGCUGUGUGUCUCUAUGGAAGCUCUUAAGACUAGCUGGAAAGUCUAUCAGAGAGCAGUAAAGGCUGCCAAGCACUCCUAUUUUUCUCAACUUAUUGCUGCCAGCUCGCAUAACCCUCGUGUUCUAUAUAACACUAUAAAUUCUGUAAUUAAUCCGAAAGGCAAUAUUCUUUUGCACUCUUCUGCGGUUAUGUGCAAUAAGUUUCUUAAUUAUUUUGUGGACAAGGUUGCUAGUUUGAGACCCCCGACUCAACCUACUGCUGACCCAGCCAUGCAUGGUUCUUGCUCAAGUCUGUUCUCUGCUUUUCUACCAAUUGUUUUAUCUGACAUAGAUAAACUUGUGUUGAAAGCUAAACCGUGUGGCUCUCCUAAUGACGUUGUUCCUCCCCGUUUUCUUAAAAAGGUAUUUCCUAUCAUUGGACCACACAUUCUGAACAUUAUUAAUACUAGUCUUUUGUCUGGUCAAGUACCUAGGGAAUUUAAGCAUGCAGUCAUACAUCCUUUACUUAAGAAACCGGGCUUAGACAGUUCAGUCAUAUCCAAUUUUAGACCCAUCUCUAAGCUUCCCUUUCUUAGUAAGAUUCUGGAAAGGAUUGUUUAUACUCAGUUGAUGGACUACUUGAAUGACUCUAAUUUGUCAGAAAUCUUUCAGUCCGGCUUUAAGCCAUUCCACAGUACGGAGACAGCCCUCGUAAAAGUUAUGAAUGACAUCCUGAUAGCCACAGACCAUGGUAAAUAUGCAGUGCUGGUCUUGUUGGCCGCUGCAUUUGACACAGUGGAUCAUGAUUUGUUGAUCUCCCGCUUACAGCACUGUGUGGGAAUUUCUGGUUUGGCACUUUUGUGGUUAAAGUCCUAUCUCUUAAAUAGGACCUUUUUGUGUUAA
rnacentral:lncRNA from 1 species